UACGUAGGGGGCUAGCUUUGUCCGGAAUCAUUGGGCGUAAAGAGCGUGUAGGCGGUCCGGUAAGUCCGCUGUGAAAGUCGGGGGCUCAACCCUCGAAUGCCGGUGGAUACUGUCGGGCUAGAGUGCGGAAGAGGCGAGUGGAAUUCCUGGUGUAGCGGUGAAAUGCGCAGAUAUCAGGAGGAACACCUAUUGCGAAGGCAGCUCGCUGGGACGUAACUGACGCUGAGACGCGAAAGCGUGGGGAGCAAACAGG
rnacentral:rRNA from 1 species